rnacentral:rRNA from 1 species
UACGUAGGUGGCAAGCGUUGUCCGGAUUUAUUGGGCGUAAAGGGCGCGCAGGCGGUCCGUUAAGUCCGAGGUGAAAUCUCCCGGCUCAACUGGGAGGGGUCUUCGGAUACUGGCGGACUUGAGGAGUGCAGAGGUGAGUGGAAUUCUCGGUGUAGUGGUGAAAUGCGUAGAUAUCGAGAGGAACACCAGUGGCGAAGGCGGCUCACUGGGCACCACCUGACGCUGAGGCGCGAAGGCCAGGGGAGCAAACGGG